rnacentral:lncRNA from 1 species
AAAAGGACUUGAAAACUUUGAGUUUUAACGAUAAAGACAAAAUAAAGAGUAAAGUGAAUAGUACAAGGAUUGACUUUUUAGUGUAAAAAUGUGAUUUUUCUUUAAAAUGAAUAGUACAGAGAGCUUUUCGUUAAAGUUCCCUAUUUUUUUAGGACCUUAGAAAUUUAUGAAUUAGUAAUAUGAUGUUUGGAUGUUUCGAAUUGAUUUACAUAGGAUUUUUUACCCUACCGUUGACCAAGUUAAACGAAGGUUGACCUUUGUUUAACAUGCUCUAAACCCUUCUUAAAUGCUUAAGUUAAUAUUACUAGGGCCCUAUAGAGCUAAGUGGGCUUACUUGGGUUAAUGGGUCAUCCUAGGGAAUGUACAUCUCAGUUUGCGUGCAGGUGGCACCUUACCGAGAUUCACAUGUUUAUUGAACUCCUAGGUGAGAUAAAUGAUAUGUGUAUUUUCUCACAAUGUAAAUCAUGUGUCUAGAGGUGGGAUGUAGGAUGCUUGACACGAGUUGCAUGGUAUGUAAUGUGACCACACCAUGUAGCAGUGUGGUACAUUGAAAGUCCUGCCUGGUUAAUCCGUAUUGGGGGAUCUUAAGCAUUUUAGGGGCGACUCCUCUUGGUUAAUCUACAUUGAAUGGUCACUACCUACCUAGUUACAUUAGAUCCAUAGGUGGUCCUACUUCGUUAAUCCGCAUUGAGGGACCACACUAUCAGAUGGGUACCUAUGGUUUCGCUUGGUUUGGGGACCUUGCACGCAAACUGAGAUUCACGUGUUUAUUGAACUCCUAGGUGAGAUA